CCCUUAGAUGUUCUGGGCCGCACGCGCGCUACACUGAUGUGUCCAGUAAGCACCUAACCUAUUCCGAGAGGAGCGGGUAACCUUAGCAAAGCACAUCGUGAUGGGGAUAGAUUAUUGCAAUUAUUAGUCUUGAACGAGGAAUUCCUAGUAAGCACAAGUCAUCAGCUUGUGUUGAUUACGUCCCUGCCCUUUGUACACACCGCCCGUCGCUCCUACCGAUUGAAUGUUCCGGUGAGCUCUUCGGACUGCGCGGUCUGCAGUUUCUGCGUUCCGUGCGGAAAGUUGUGCAAACCUUAACAUUUAGAGGAAGGAGAAGUCGUAACA
rnacentral:rRNA from 1 species